AUGAUUUCUACCUCAAGAUCAACGGCUUCCAGAUUCAUUCAUGUUGCAGAUCUCAAUUUUGUGUGUGUAUAUAUCUGUAUAUAUGUGUGUAUUUAUGACCGUGAGGGGGUGGGGAGUUUAAUGGAUGUAGGUUGUUUCAGGAUUACAUAUCUCGAAUCUAUGAGUGUUUUGAGAAUUGAAUCCUGA